rnacentral:rRNA from 1 species
GGGAUCAGUAGUCUGAUCCCUAGCGUUCCCCCUUCUUCCCUCGAUCCCCAACGCCCCCCGAUCCUAUCGCCGCCGCUGCCUACCACGCCUCCUACCGGCGUGCCAGCACCAACGCCUCCUUCCCGGCGCACCGUCGUCCCCGCCUCCUCCCGGCACGAGGCCGCCUCCAGACUCCUCCUGGGACGCCGUCGCCCCCGCCUUCCUCCUGGCGCGCCGCCGCCCCUGUCUUCUUCAACUGCCACCAUGGACCACCACCUCUGCCCCGAUCCACCUUGGUAGUGGAUCCUGAGCGCCGUCGCUGACCAUGGAUCCUGGGCGCCGCCGCCUGUCUUUGGAUCCCGCCCGCCGCCGCCGGGGUCCCCGACUGAAGACGACCAAGCCAUGGAUCCUGGGUGCCAUCGCGGGCCGUGGAUCCCGGGGCGGCACCGCCUAGCUCUGAUCCCGCCGGCCGCCACCGAGGUUCCCGACUGAAGAUGCCCUAUGCCGCGGCACUCAGGCCAUUCGCCACCGCCACCUCUUGCAGUUCACCGCCACCAUCCAGCGCGCCCCCGGUCGCCCCCAGGACGCCAGGAACCACCUGACUCCCCUGGUUCGCCUACAUCGUGGGAUCACUUCGCGUCGGUUCGCGAGGCCACAACCCCUGCCCUCCAAUUUCAUCACUUUUUUGUGUUUGUCCUCUGAAAAAAUUGGCCAUCGUUGCAGGCUAGCUUCACCAGAUUAUUCAGUUCAGCUCUAAACAAAUGAGCAUUAUACUUUGUUGUCCAGUUUUGGGAAGGUUGAAAUUGUUCCAGAAGGUGAAAAAUAUGUCCAAGUAUAUCAGCAGCUUUGGGAAGGUAGAAAUUGUUCCAGAAGGUGAAAAAUAUGUCCAAGUAUAUUUUCUAGAACACCGACACUCUCUGGACAUCAUUGGUAUAUGCUACAAUUAUCCCUCGAGAUUGAUGUUAUCAACCACUAUCAAAUAUUCCCUGGACAUCAUUGGUACUACUAAUCUCCACAUAUAUGCACAACUAAGUGCAAUCAGUCUGUUCUGAACACCUGCAGCAGGCAUGGCCUCAUGCUACAGUUCAACUUUCAAUUACCUGUUACAGAGAGCCUGACAGGACUUCCUCCGCCGACAGACACUGCACGCCAUGAGAAAGUUCAGGGAAUAUUUGAUAGUGGAAGCUACACUGUCACUGUGCACCACAGCUGAUAAAGUUUCUCCAAUAAUGCUGCACCUUUUAUUUCCUCAUCAUCUGCCUUUCUCCCAAGCUUUUAGUAUUUCUUUUGCAUGCCAGAAUGGCUGGAGCGCAAAGUGAAGCCUGAAGCCAACCUGUGUUGUGAGCAUCAGUAGCUAGUCACGUGCUGCGCUGGGCCAACAAAACAGCUUGCAGUUUUGUUCAUUUCAAGGCGGUUAGGUGGGGUGGGAAUCCUAUUUAUUCAGAUGCGCUUGUACCAACACUAAUUAUUUUGAUUGACGUGAUAGUACUAAUCUACUGACAUGGUCCGGGAAAGGCCACUACAGUGACUAAAUUUAACCAGGGAUUCGCACUUUUGUGGCGCUGCAGAGAUCACAUCGUUUUUUCUAUGUUCAUCGUCAGAGUGCGAAUGGGAACUCCCACAUGUAAAGUUAGUACACAAGCACCGUGUAGUGUUAAAAACGCUUUUACAUUACAAGACGGAGGGAGGGAGUAAGAAAGUUGCUUAGAAGAGAUGCUUAAAAGAAUAAAUCAUUGGUAUAUUUUCUAGAACACCGACACUCUCUGGACAUCAUUGUUAUAUGCAUGCCGAUGUUAUCAAUCAACUUUAACAUAUAUGCUACAACUAUCCCUCGAGAUGGAACUGUUGUAGUAGACUUGUAUCCAUGCUGGAUGUAGAAAACAAAUGUUCAUGUUAAUGAAUAUUGAUAAAAGUUGGGAAGAGGUUCUCUCCUUUUGUUUUUUUCUAGAAUUGUUGUUUUAGAGAGUGUUGUUUCAGAGAGUGUUCACUUUUAAAAGAAAGCAUUUUCCAUGUUUCCAAAAGAAAUUAGAAGUUCAAAUUUCACAAACAUAGAGGUUCAAUGUUUAUUACAGAACCAAGAAUG